UGCAUACAAGCACUGGUUUGAAACAAUUGGCACAUAAGCAGUGUCAAGAUCAAAAUAACAGUCAAAUAUGAAUCAACAUUCCCAGGAAUGACCAAUGACUAAGUAGUUCAAAUACAAAAAAGAAUGGAUUCUACCAUGCUAAGACCCGUCCAUAAAAAUUGUCAAUUCAAGGACUCAUCUAAGUCCAAAAUGAAAGCAACACAUCAAAAGUUCUAGAAGUUCUUGAGAUAUUGUUCCAUAAUAAUGAUCAGGUUAGUAGCAUGUAUUUGUAAGUUCUAGCGCUCUACUAUUCUAGAUUUAAAAUGUAAUUAAAGUAAACAUCUAAGUCCAAAAUGAAAGCAACACAUCAAAAGUUCUAGAAGUUCUUGAGAUAUUGUUCCAUAAUAAUGAUCAGGUUAGUAGCAUGUAUUUGUAAGUUCUAGCGCUCUACUAUUCUAGAUUUAAAAUGUAAUUAAAGUAAACAUCACUAAUAAUU
rnacentral:lncRNA from 1 species